GACAGCACACGUACGUCUGCCCGACGUCGGCUCAAGAGCGUACGUCGGCCUCCUUAUCUGAAACAUCUAAUAAGUAUCGGCCAGGCAUCGGCCAAAUCUUCAGUCAAGUCAACGGUAUUUCCCGCUCAUCAAGCUUGUCUGUUACGUCGGCUUUGGGUCGGAUAACUAUACCGGAGGCCGAUGCCGCGCUUCUCUCUGUUGGUGCGUGCCCAGUUACUCCUCCCUUUGCAACCCACCAGAGCAAAGGCGACAUCAUGGGUGUAUCAAGUAUGUACAAGAACUAAGUAAAUGAUAAUAAGUGGAGAAAAAUGGAAUCCGUUAAGUAAAUGUAAAUGUUUUAAUAUAAUAUACAAGUAAAAAUAAAUAAAAUAGCAGCGCUUUCUUUGCUUUUAAUGACACACAGCUGCUAAGUUCCAUUAUUCCGAAGCAGGAGGGGGCAGUAAUGUACAUACGCUGGUUGCCAGCCGCCGUUAAUACUCAAACAAUUCCACGUCAACUCGAACACGCAAAACCCCGGUAUGAUGCAUUGUCAUGAGCAUGCCAAACCAACAGAUGGCGAUAUAUUCCUUAACCCAGAGAAGCCACUACAGUCUCGUCUUGCCAUGAACAAGGAAAAAAUGCGGGAGCUGACUUCGCAGACGUACGUGGCUCAGGCAGAUGGCCAUUGCUUUUCUGAACAGCAGUUGGAAGUAUUCUGAGGUCAUUGGCACUGCUGUAUCACAACAUCAUUUGCUGUGCCUGGGAUAAUGAAGACAAUUUGGGUUGUCGUGUUACACGCCAGGUGAACAACAUCAGAGUGCGGCAGUCAGAGAUCCUAAAGAAGGACUCCAUAUGUUUACUCGAGACAGUACGCCGUACAUCUCUUACGACGAGGUUAUUUGUUUCAGGACCGCUUUCCCGAUACUGACAAGGACAUUUAAGGUUCAGUGGACAACUUGCUUUCAAUGAAUGGUUAAUGUCUGUAGCCCUUUUCACUCACAUAUUAUGGAAAAAAUACAGAGUACACAUCCGGGAGUUGUUUGGGAUUAUUUGAUUUUGGUUAAUUCACGCUGCCAAUAGUUUUCUGGAUUUGUUUGUGCUUUCACACACAUGCCAUAAAGACAUGACAUAUUUAAAGUCUUGCACUUGGUAGGUUUUUUUGUAGUAUCUGUAGUUUGCUUAUCCGUGAUUUCUCUCUCGAGAAACCACACGUGUAUUUUUUUGUUUAAUAAGAUCAUAAAGGAGUGCGUUACACCAGUGCUUCCCACCAGUGCUUCCCAAUCCUGGUCCUCGAGCACCCUCUCCCAAAAAUUUUUAGUUGUCUCCUUAUUUAACUCAUCAGCUUGUUAGGGAGACAUGUUUACCAUUUUGGAAGGAGGCUGAUAACUUGAAUCAGGUGUUUUAAAUAAGUUUUUGGGAGGGGGUGCUCGAGGACCAGGAUUGGGAAGCACUGCGUUACACGCUGUUUUGUUAUGCUGGUGAAUGUUCAUAGCUGAUAGUGACGAGCCCCCUGAUUUCUUCUUCAGUCCAGUUUGCAGAUAUUUCUCAUUGUGAAUGUUAAUCUGCCAUGUCAAAGGGGAAAAGACUAUAUUUUUGUCGUGAUGACACAAUAUUUAUGUUGACUAAUUAUCGACGUUGAAAUUGACACCGCCGAUUCUAUCGACCAAACACAACAGCUCUAAGUCUAGCAUACACAUAAUUGCAUUCACUAACCUUUGCCUCAGGUUAUAAAUAACUUAAUAAUCACAACUAUCCACUACCUAAAAAGCUAUGAACAGCAGUCAUGCAAAUUUUCUCAAUUUGCUUUUCUAUUUCUACUAGCAAUUAUGUGAGCUGCAGUCUGGAUCCUGCCUCUGUCAGAUCACCUAACACAAAUGGAAAGAUGACAUCGACCCUUGCAAGGACUUCAGACGAUCCCAGCACUGGACUACAUACAGUGGUAAUCAUGGGUGCCCAAACUUGUGCAUGUCACUGUACUGAUAUAUACUAUACAAAUAAUAUUUUCAGUAGUCUGUGUCAAAUUUUAUUUCAAGGUAAGAUAGCUUUACAUGUUUUUUAUUGUGCUUUAGUGAUCACACAGGCCCUGUUUAUGUUCUUAACCGGCAUGAGUUUAUUUAUUGUGAUAUACACAAAACAAGAUAUUUUGAUAAAUCAUGUUAAGUACACAGCUGCUCAUUUACUUCAAUAAAAUGUCUUUUUCCUAUUAUGGAAGUCAAUGGGUACCAUCAACUGUAUGAUUGACAUCAUUUAUCAGAUUAAAGAAUUUUUGGCAAGUUUAUAACAACAUGAAGGUGAGUAAAUGAUACAAUUAUCAUUUUUACGUAAACUUUUAGCUUUGAAGGAUUAUUUACUCAACCCCAUGUCAUCCAAGAUGUUUGUCUUUCUUUCUUUAGCCAAACACAAUUAGAGUUAUAUUAAAUACUGUCCUGGCCAGUGGCAGCUCAUGACUGCUCUUCUGAGGGGUGCGAAUUCAAAAUAAGUGUUCAGAGUGUCAUGUGUGUUGCUCGUGUUUUCAAAAAUAUGUGUUUGUUGCUUCAUGUAAACCAUGUGCAUCACGUGUCUUGUCAAAAGAAGUGCCUGCUGCACACGCGUCAAAACCUUUUAUGAUAAAAGAGAUGCUCACGUUCACAAAAUACACACAACACAUUCACUUAACAUUAAACUCUGAUUACACAUGAGAUAAUGCAGGUAUCUUUUAUCAUAAACCCUUCAGACGUGUGUGCAGCAGGCACUUAUUUUGACAUGACACGUGAUUCACAUGCGACACGCCUAACACAUAUCUUAAAAUGACGAACCACACACAUAACGGGCUACAUACAUGUUGGGAUGAGCUUCGCAUUGCAUUGUGCGCCCUCGGAAAAUAAGUCCUUGUCCGCCACUGGUCCUGGUUCUUCAAUGCUUAAUAAUGGCAUUGACUGGGCAUCAAUGUUUUGAAGUUCCAAAAGUGCAUCCAUUCAUCAUUAAAGUGAUCCAUAUAUAACCCAGUGGUUCUUCUGAUGCAAAAUGAUAGGCUUAUGAGAAAAACUUUAUAUUUUAAGCUUUAAGCGAGUUACGAUGCAUACGUUAUGUAAACAGACUACAACAACUCAAUCGCAUUGUUUCUCACGUGUCUCUACUGCGUUUCAUCACAAUUCAUAUUACGACUAGUCAUGAGAUGCAUAACAUCCAAUGCGAUAACACGUGCUGCCAUAUUUAAAUUGUCUUUUUAACUUUGUAAAUGUCUUGUCUCUAUCACAAAAAGCAAUAAAUAUGAAUAGUUUUUCUCACAAACGUAUUGUUUCGCUUCAGAAGACAUUUAUUAAUCCACUGGUUACAUAUGGAUUACUUUAAUGAUGGAUGGAUAUACUUUUAAGCUUUGAAAAACAUUGAUCCCAGUCAAUGACAUUAUAAAGCAAAAAUAUAAAUACAAUAUAUAAAUGUAAAGAACCAGGAAAUUAUUUAAUAUAACUCUGAUUGUGUUCUGUUAAAAAAGUAAUAGAUAACUUCUUGGAUGACAUGAAUUUAAAUAAUCAGUCAAUUUUCAUUUUGGUGGGAGGAGUAAUCCUUUAACUCAUUUGAGUCAUCAGACAGUCAUCUUGUUGCUUUGACUGAAUUCAUUUACAGAUCAAAAUCCCUGGUGGUAAAUCAACACUGCUCAGUCUUAUCUAUUUGAGUACACUGACGAUCCUGAAGUGUUUGGGUGAGAUCUAGACCGAGGACUAAGGCGUAUACUAGGACAGAACUAAGUGUUGUAGCCCACAGGUGAUCCUAAAACAACAAAGAGGAACCAUGGAGAGGAAGAAGUGGUGUCCAGAUGUUUAAAAGGCGGUGUUCGGGACAGGAAACGAAGGCAACAAAGAGGAACCUCUAAGGUUUAAAGGCACUGCUUGCAGAGACGAGUGCAGAAAACUAGACGGAAGACCUGUCGAGAAUGUUUUAUGAUUAAAUGUUUUUGUUAUGUACAUGCACAUUAUUAUUUACAAUAUAUUUCUAAGAUACAUAAAUAUGUGACCUUGUAUAUGAAAUCCAGGCUACUGUCUUAACAUCUUAUGACAUCUAAAGUUUGAAUUUACUGAUUUAACAUUGAGUUCAGUCUUUGGCAUGACCUUACUCAGUCAGUAUUGAAGAUGUCAAGAUUAAUUUUUCAGAGAAUGUUUUCUGAAUUGUGUAGGAUGAUUUUAUGUAGAAAACAGUAAGUCACAAAGAAAUACUUUGCUGGGUUUUCACAGGCCGUGUUUUUCCCAUUUGUACAACAUAUGUGAAUUAUCUUGAGACUAAAACUUCUGAAAUCCAAACUGUUAUAUUUUAGCAUUUCAAAUGCAGCCACCCUUUGCCUAGAAUGUGAAAUAUAUACCCUUGGGUUUUUUCAGUAAUUUUUUGAGAUCUCACCCUGAGAUAUUUUUAAAGAAAUUUCCAUGUAUUAUGGGCUUGAAUUACUUGUUUAUUUUAUCAUUUUGUCCAAGUAA